rnacentral:rRNA from 1 species
CCCAGACUCCUACGGGAGGCAGCAGUGGGGGAUAUUGCACAAUGGGGGAAACCCUGAUGCAGCGACGCCGCGUGAGUGAAGAAGUAUUUCGGUAUGUAAAGCUCUAUCAGCAGGGAAGAAAAAAGACGGUACCUGACUAAGAAGCCCCGGCUAACUACGUGCCAGCAGCCGCGGUAAUACGUAGGGGGCAAGCGUUAUCCGGAUUUACUGGGUGUAAAGGGAGCGUAGACGGCAAUACAAGUCGGAAGUGAAAUACCCGGGCUUAACCUGGGAACUGCUUUGGAAACUGUAUGGCUGGAGUGCUGGAGAGGUAAGCGGAAUUCCCAGUGUAGCGGUGAAAUGCGUAGAUAUUAGGAGGAACACCAGUGGCGAAGGCGGCUUACUGGACAGUAACUGACGUUGAGGCUCGAAAGCGUGGGGAGCAAACAGGAUUAGAUACCCGCGUAGCC